rnacentral:rRNA from 1 species
GGGCGCAAGCCUGAUGCAGCGACGCCGCGUGCGGGAUGACGGCCUUCGGGUUGUAAACCGCUUUUGACUGGGAGCAAGCCCUUCGGGGUGAGUGUACCUUUCGAAUAAGCACCGGCUAACUACGUGCCAGCAGCCGCGGUAAUACGUAGGGUGCAAGCGUUAUCCGGAAUUAUUGGGCGUAAAGGGCUCGUAGGCGGUUCGUCGCGUCCGGUGUGAAAGUCCAUCGCUUAACGGUGGAUCCGCGCCGGGUACGGGCGGGCUUGAGUGCGGUAGAGGAGACUGGAAUUCCCGGUGUAACGGUGGAAUGUGUAGAUAUCGGGAAGAACACC